AUGAAUAUAUUGUGUGGGAACAUAUUGAACAUAUUGAACAUAUUGUGGGGGAACAUAUUGAACACAUUGUGUGGGAAAAUAUUGAACAUAUUGUGGGGGAACAUAUUGAACAUAUUGUGGGGGAACAUAUUGAAAAUAUUGUGGGGGAAUAUAUUGAACAUAUUGUGGGGGAACAUAUUGAACAUAUUGAACAUAUUGAACAUGGGGAAACAUAUUGAACACAUUUUGUGGGAAAAUAUUGAACAUAUUGUGGGGGAACAUAUUGAAUAUAUUGAACAUAUUGUGGGGGAACAUAUUGAACAUAUUGUGGGGGAACAUAUUGAACACAUUGUGUGGGAAAAUAUUGAACAUAUUGUGGGGGAACAUAUUGAACAUAUUGAACAUAUUGAACAUAUUGUGGGGGAACAUAUUGAACAUAUUGAACAUAUUGAACACAUUGAACAUAUUGUGUUGGAACAUAUUGAACAUAUUGAACAUAUUGUGUUGGAACAUAUUGUGGGGGAACAUAUUGAAAAUAUUGUGGGGGAAUAUAUUGAACAUAUUGAAUAUAUUGUGGGGGAACAUAUUGAACACAUUUUGUGGGAAAAUAUUGAACAUAUUGUGGGGAACAUAUUGAACAUAUUGAACAUAUUGAACAUAUUGUGGGGGAACAUAUUGAACAUAUUGAACAUAUUGAACAUAUUGAACAUAUUGUGGGGGAACAUAUUGUGUUGGAACAUUGUCGUGGAAAUUUCCUCUAUUUACCAAAUCAUGAGAGCAAACCACACACAAGUCGGAGUUAGUUAUCAAAGUCCAUCUUUAAUUAUAUGAGCUCUAUCACAACCCUGUGACUCUCAGAUCAAUUCAGUGUCUAUCAAUGAAUUCUCUGAGAGUCCCUCACACAUUGCAACUGAGAUCCUUUAAUAGCAAAGACACACACAUAGCCAGACAGCAUAGGCAUAAUUUAUCGUUCAGCUUUGUCUCCCAAACUAUGCUCUUCUCUCAAACUCAGAACCAUAAACCAAUCCUCCAUGUCAACAGGCAUAUAUCAAAUCCAUCCUAUCUUGAAAAGAUCACAGAGACACACUGACUGGCACACAGACAUUGUGGAGUCAAGAGAUACACGCUUGACCUCUCCCCUCUCUCCGGCCCAAGCAACUUGGUCUUGACAUAGAACAGAUACUGCAACCCCGCCACAGUAUUAUACAAAAAUAACAUUCUGAUGAGAAGUAACUUACAAACAUAUGAUAUAAAACAUCUUACCUAUGUUACCAACUAAUUCUGAUUAUUCCCCAACAACAUAUUGAACAUAUUGUGGGGGAAUAUAUUGAACAUAUUGAACAUAUUGAACAUAUUGAACAUAUUGUGGGGGAACAUAUUGAAUAUAUUGAACAUAUUGUGGGGGAACAUAUUGAACAUAUUGUGGGGGAAAAUAUUGAACAUAUU
rnacentral:lncRNA from 1 species